rnacentral:rRNA from 1 species
AGAGACAGAAACCUUCGGGCGGAAGACUUUGUUGACUGAGUGGCGGACGGGUGAGUAACGCGUGGGUAACCUGCCUUACACAGGGGGAUAACAGUUAGAAAUGACUGCUAAUACCGCAUAAGACCACAGCACCACAUGGUGCAGGGGUAAAAACUGAGGUGGUGUAAGAUGGGCCCGCGUCUGAUUAGCUAGUUGGUGGGGUAAGAGCCCACCAAGGCGACGAUCAGUAGCCGACCUGAGAGGGUGACCGGCCACAUUGGGACUGAGACACGGCCCAAACUCC